AGUUCUAAUGGAAGUAAAAUGCUAUCAAACAGGAUUGCAUGCUACAGAGAAGUCAUUCAUGAAAGGAAGAGUCAACUGAUGCAGAAUACUUCACUGUUGUCUUAUUUUAAGAAGUUUCCACAGUUAUCCUGACCUUCAGCACCCACCACCCUGAUCAGUCAGCAGCCAUUAACAUCAAGCCUCAGUCCUAUAAUCCGAAAUGCAGACAAAUUUAUGGUUCAGUUCCUGCAAGGCAAGUGAAUGACAAGAAGACUGCCCUCCCUUUGUGGGUGGGCAAAGCAGAGCAGCACCCUGCCGUCACGGGAAGCCUGUCCCAGGAGUGGCAUCAUCCUGCCUUCCCGAAAACUGAGAAGACAAGUGCCCAGGGGAAACUGCAGAGGGAGGUAUCUAUUGUCUCCUGUGUCUAGAAAAGAGCUACCCAUGAGCCGCUCCCUGCACAAAUGCAAAAAAGCAGAGUGGCGUUCAGCUGGAAGAUGGCUCGAGAAUGUCAUGAUCAAAAUUUCCUCUCUCCGGGACACGGCUAUUGAGGUGGACGCCUUGGGCCGGGAGGCACUGCAGAAUCUUCGAGGACAAACAGAAAAUGGAGGACCUUGACUUGCCCACAUUAAAGUCAGUCAGCAGCAACUGGAGAUUCGAGUCCAGGGCUCCAGACCCACGAGAAAGGGCCAAUCUCUCUAUUUCCUAGCCUUGAAGGAUUUACCUGGAAAGUCAAGAAAGUCUCAUUUCCUGGAAUUGAAGUAAGUACGCCCCUUAGUAGGUUCCUUCCCCCAAAUCCCACCAGACCUUCUCCAAGGAGGACCUAAACGCAGAUGGUCAGUUGGUACCCCAGUUUCCAUGCAGAGAAAACAACUGGACAAUGUUUUACAGUAGCUUCUAGAGGGCAGACAAUUUCUUUAUGUGAUUCUCUUUUGCAGCUCUUAGAACUCAGCUCUCGGGGUAAGUGUGGGUGUUAGUGAAGACGGCCAGCAGCCGUGGAGGAGGGCGGGGUGGUGAGAACGUUCUUCACCAGUGUGGGCGGAGACUGGCUCCACAACAGACGGUGCAAUCUCUGCCUGACGUUCCAGAUGCAGGCCAGGUAGGCAAAAAGGAAGUAGAAGACACCAUCAUAUUUAGACUCCAGAAGGCUUUCAUUCCAUUUGGAUCAACUUGAGAACCCGCCCCACUCAAACGGGGUUGCCAGACCAUCCUGGGAAGGGCUGCAGCGACCAGAGCCGUGGAUCGUGGCAGGAGCUCUGGCACACCUUCCUCCAUGGAGCUGGGCUGGUACUUCACACCCUUCUCCUGGCAAGUCAGCCCUGUUCCUAGUUCCUCUGACCCGUCAGCUCUUUCCUUCCUUCCAGGCCCUUUCAGACAUCCUGCCUCCACUGCGCUGCCUCGUGGGCGGAAGGUUCUCACCGCCGCCGUCACAGGGGUCCACCUUCAAUCCGGGUGCUCAGCAGGUGUUUCCAAACCCCCAGGAGGACUGUGCACUGUGCUCUAGGCGGAUUCCUCCCCUCCUCCCUCCCUUCUCUCCUCUCUCUUCCCGUUUUCUCCUUUCUCCCCUCCUGCCAAUACAUUUAUUGCCGGAUCCCUGACACUGAGAAUUUGUUCCUGAUCGGGGGUUAGGCUGAGCUCUUAGGUUUGAAGAUGCCAGCGACCAGUGUUGAAAGCACCUUGAGGGAGGAGAGCAUUUACGGGGUGUGUUGAAGAAAGGCACUCAGCCGAUUGGAAAGGCUGAAAUGGUUUGGACUUAUCGAAGCCGACCGGCGUAGCGGAGGGGCAAACGGCGAAGCUCCGGCAGAGUCGAUGCGCAAAGAGCAGGAGGGCAAAGCUCAAGCAGCAACGCGUAUCCAAUAUGAUGGUGGAGCGCCUCCUCCGGUUCCUCCUGCCCUGUGACGGCCACAAGGGGAGCCGAGAGAAAAGUGGAAAAAAUGCUCUGGGGAGGCAUGCGGAGGCAGCUACCACACUGGAGCCGCUGACCCAGACACUCCGCAUGAGUUCUGCGGCGAUUUCCAGGCGGGGCGGCUGGGAAACAGGCUCAGAGGGUUAGUGGUUUCCCAGGAAGGGAUGCACUUCCUGCAAUGAAUCACCCUGUGUCAAGGAGGAUUUUUAUGAGAUCAGCUUCCAAGCAGAUCACCCAGACUCCACCACUCAAGAGGGCACUGGAGCUUAACACCACAGGAGCCCACCCUUGAUGUUUUCUUUCUUGUCUUUUCCAAGGGGACAUUUGGACCAAAAGUGGCCUGUGGCCCCUGGAAACUCUGAGUAGUGGCUUGGCAUCCUAGGAAUCCGUCUGUUGUGCUUUGUGGAAGAGUCUGGAAAGGUCUAGUUUUGUCUGGAAAACAAAACUCAUGGUUGUUACUGUGAAAGUGUAACCCCGCUUACCCCCUUCUAAUAAAUGCUGCAAUCU